rnacentral:rRNA from 1 species
GACGAACGCUGGCGGCGUGCCUAAUACAUGCAAGUAGAACGCUGAAGGAGGAGCUUGCUUCUCUGGAUGAGUUGCGAACGGGUGAGUAACGCGUAGGUAACCUGCCUGGUAGCGGGGGAUAACUAUUGGAAACGAUAGCUAAUACCGCAUAAUAGUAGAUGUUGCAUGACAUUUGCUUAAAAGGUUCAAUUGCAUCACUACCAGAUGGACCUGCGUUGUAUUAGCUAGUUGGUGGGGUAACGGCUCACCAAGGAGACGAUACAUAGCCGACCUGAGAGGGUGAUCGGCCACACUGGGACUGAGACACGGCCCAGACUCCUACGGGAGGCAGCAGUAGGGAAUCUUCGGCAAUGGACGGAAGUCUGACCGAGAAACGCCGCGUGAGUGAAGAAGGUUUUCGGAUCGUAAAGCUCUGUUGUAAGAGAAGAACGAGUGUGAGAGUGGAAAGUUCACACUGUGACGGUAGCUUACCAGAAAGGGACGGCUAACUACGUG